UGUCCUCGUCUUAGGUUGAGUCGGAUUUUAUGAGACGCCACCUGCGGUGCUAGCCGACCCCUGCCUCAGCAAACUCCCGUUUCGACUUUGAGCCAGAAACUUAAGAUCACCCCGAGCGCCCGAAGGAUCAGCCGGCGGCUUCGCGCCCCGCCUCGGCCUUCGCGGGGAUUUGCGGCCUAAAUGGGGUCACGGGCCCGUAAAUAGGCGACUGAUUAUCCCGAGUACAGCGGAGACAUGAGUUUUGAGGAUGAAUGUUUGUAAUAAAUCUUGUCAACGAGGAUGACUGAAACACAGUGGGAAAACAACUGCAUGUAAUGAGGUAACUGCCUGCCAAUGAAAGUUCUAAUCUUCAACUGUGGUGUUUAAAAAUUCUUCAUCUCCUCAAAAGUGUGGCAUUUGACAUUUUGGAAGGAAAGUGAAGAAUCAGUCAAGAAGACAUGAAGCAAAUGACCAAAAUUAAUGUUUUAUUGACAUUGAUCAUCUCACAAUAAAUUAUGUAGAAAAAUACAUGUUUCAGUACUUUUAAUUGCUGGGUAAUAGUCCUUUUAAAAUACAUUAAAUCUUUAAAACAACAUUCCCAUAUUUAGCCAU